AGCAAUAUGAAGGUCAGGCUGAAGACCUUACCCGAUUAGCUGAGAGGUGGUGCACGGCCGUCGUCAGUUCGUACUGUGAAGCAUCCUGUUAAGUCAGGCAACGAGCGAGACCCACGUCCACAGUUGCCAGCAUACCCUCCGGGGUGAUGGGUACACUGUGGAGACCGCCGCUGCUAAAGCGGAGGAAGGAGUGGGCAACGGUAGGUCAGUAUGCCCCGAAUCUCCCGGGCUACACGCGGGCUACAAUGGUUGGUACAAUGGGCAUCUACCCCGAAAGGGGAAGGAAAUCUCUUAAAGCCAAUCGUAGUUCGGAUUGAGGGCUGCAACUCGCCCUCAUGAAGCUGGAAUCCGUAGUAAUCGCGUUUCAACAGAACGCGGUGAAUACGUCCCUGCUCCUU
rnacentral:rRNA from 1 species